UACGUAGGUGACAAGCGUUGUCCGGAUUUAUUGGGCGUAAAGGGCGCGUAGGCGGCCUGGCAAGUGGAAGGUGAAAUCCCUCGGCUUAACCGAGGAACUGCCCUCCAAACUGCUUGGCUUGAGUCCGGGAGAGGUGAGUGGAAUUCCCAGUGUAGCGGUGAAAUGCGUAGAUAUUGGGAGGAACACCAGUGGCGAAGGCGGCUCACUGGACCGGAACUGACGCUGAGGCGCGAAAGCGUGGGGAGCGAACAGG
rnacentral:rRNA from 1 species